CCUACGGGGGGCUGCAGUGGGGAAUAUUGCACAAUGGGCGCAAGCCUGAUGCAGCCAUGUCGCGUGUGUGAAGAAGGCCUUCGGGUUGUAAAGCACUUUCAGCGGGGAGGAAGGCGUUAAGGUUAAUAACCUUGGCGAUUGACGUUACCCGCAGAAGAAGCACCGGCUAACUCCGUGCCAGCAGCCGCGGUAAUACGGAGGGUGCAAGCGUUAAUCGGAAUUACUGGGCGUAAAGCGCACGCAGGCGGUCUGUCAAGUCGGAUGUGAAAUCCCCGGGCUCAACCUGGGAACUGCAUUCGAAACUGGCAGGCUAGAGUCUUGUAGAGGGGGGUAGAAUUCCAGGUGUAGCGGUGAAAUGCGUAGAGAUCUGGAGGAAUACCGGUGGCGAAGGCGGCCCCCUGGACAAAGACUGACGCUCAGGUGCGAAAGCGUGGGGAGCAAACAGGAUUAGAUACCCGAGUAGUC
rnacentral:rRNA from 1 species